UAUAGCAAUGUUGUUUUUUUAAAUCUUUUGGUUCACUAUUUUAUAGAAGAAGGUUUAUGUUGGCCUCUUUUGAUCAGGCUAUUUCAAAUGCAGAUUUUAUCUCACUUCAUAUGUCACUUACCCCUGCUACUUUAAAGGUGUUUAAUGAUGCAACCUUUGCAAAGAUGAAGAAAGGAGUUCGAAUCAUCAACGUGGCACCGGGUGGAGUGAUCCAUGAAGUUGCCUUAUUGAGGGACCAUGAUUCUGGUAUUAUUGCACAAGGAGCAUUAAAUGUGUGCAUGAACUUUACAAGGUGAACUUUCUGCAACUUAUGUUAGCGCGCUAAUGGUGUAGUAAAAGACUAUACUAAGACAUUUUAAGAAAUCGUAAGCAUCACUCGAGACGAUUGAGUAUAGGUAAUUUUAAGAAAUCAUAAAGUCUAACUUAUGAGGAAAGAACCUGAUGAGGUAAUAAACUUAAAUAGUUUGUUGAUUUGUUUUCCAUCUUUGUUAUAUUGAUUUCUGGUAGUGACUUUGUGUUUGCUUCUUUAGGUUGUAAUAUUUCAAGAUGGGACGUAUCUGACUUUACGAGAAGUUUUUGAGAACUUGGAUUUAACUGGGUAAAACUAAUCAUCCGAACUUAAUGGUUUGGGAAUGAUAAAAUAAGAAAACGACAAUAUACAUUCUUGAUAGAUGCGUUCCAGUGGAGGAAGUAACUUUAUAAAAUUUUAACUGGUUCAGAUUAUUUUAGUUCAGUUUGUGCCCAUUUAGAAGUGUUCCAAGUUAGGCCAGCACCACCCUUACAUGUCUCCCCCAACAUGACCAUUGUCACCACCACCAUCACUGUCGUCACCGUUGGACACCACCACCAUGGCUGUCAUAUAGCACCAUCGUUAGCCGAGGAUCAAGAUGCAAGCCCUGCAACAGGCAAUUGUGAUGGAAUUUGGUCAUCAAGUUAGGUUAGCAACAUAUGCAAAUUUUCGCUCUUUUGUAGAAUUGGCUUGUGUAGAUUUCUACCGUUUGGGCGGUGAUCCGUGUAUCUUGGCUGGAUGUAAGAGGUCUUUUACCUAAAAUUAGUUGUCCAAAAUGGCGGAUAGGGGUUAUGGUAUGUUUACAAAAUGGGUCAGGUCAUAUAGUUUGGUUACAUAGAACAUGAUGGGUCGGGGUGAAGAAUGUGCGAAGUUGGUUUUUGUGUGGCUAACCACAAUAUUAAUUUUGUGGCGGACUUAAAUCGUUUUUUUUUGUUAUUUAGGUAUUGGUUUAAUGUCACCACACUCUUGAGUCAUGCUAUACCUCACAGUAUGAGCAGCAUUUACUGGUCAGAGUUAGGCUUCCUCUUGGUGAUCCAUCAAUGAAGGUUCGAGCUGCUUAUGAUGUACACCAUUCUUGGUGAAGAUGAGGGAGAGGCGGGUUUUAUUCUAGCAAAUCAGAUUAUUAAAAGAGCAUUGUGUACUCCAGGGGCCACCAUUCAUAAGUAUGACAAGCCAGAUAUGCGAAAGCAACGGAAGAUGGGCCACAUCAUCGUUGUUGGGUCUUCAAUGGGAAUUGUGGAAGCACAGGUUAAAUCAUUUCUCAAAGAAUAAAGUUCAAAAGAGACUCAAGGAUACCAGCCCGCUUAAUGACAGACUUAGUGUUCACUUAAGGUAAGAACUCAAUCCCAUGUUUGUUAGUUUAUUUUGAUGUUCGUAAUUUCAUUUAGUAUACAUUAUCCCAACAUCCCACAUAGGAGUUUUCAUGCAUCUUUAAUCUCUUUAUACUGUAUUUUGUUUUGUUUGAAAACGAGGAAGAUUGCAGCGAAGUUUUGUGCUUUCGUCUCUAUAUUUACUUGAAUUCGGCUCUAUAAGAUGUCAAAGUUUAUAAUAAAUUAUAAUAAACAAAAAUGUAUUCCUACCAUGUUAUGGCACAAUCCGUUUAACUUAUUGUAGUGCUUAUAUUUUUUUUA